rnacentral:rRNA from 1 species
GACGUAGGUGGCGAACGUUAUCCGGAAUUAUUGGGCGUAAAGGGUGCGUAGAUGGCCUGAUAAGUUAGCAGUGGGAAAUCGAGGCUCAACCUCGUGGAAGCUGGUAAUACUGUCAGGCUCGAGUGCAGGAGAGGUUAACGGAACUCCAUGUGGAGCGGUAAAAUGUGUAGAUAUAUGGAAGAACACCGGUAACGGCGAAGGCAGUUAACUAUUCUGUUACUGACGUUGAGGCACGAAAGCGUGGGGAGCAAAACGG